AUACGGAGGGUGCAAGCGUUAUCCGGAUUCAUUGGGUUUAAAGGGUGCGCAGGCGGAAUGAUAAGUCAGUGGUGAAAUCCUACAGCUUAACUGUAGAACUGCCAUUGAUACUGUCAUUCUUGAGUACACUUGAAGUGGGCGGAAUGUAUCAUGUAGCGGUGAAAUGCAUAGAUAUGAUACAGAACUCCGAUAGCGAAGGCAGCUCACUAAAUUGUAACUGACGCUCAGGCACGAAAGCGUGGGGAGCAAACAGGAGUAGAAACCCUAGUAGUCC
rnacentral:rRNA from 1 species